ACAUCCUGUAGUGGCUGCUGGAGCCUGGCAUCAAAGUGAGAUACUGCACGGCCUUCCAUCUCUGAAGUAGUGCUGGUUUUCCCAAAUCUUUACGCCAGGGACGUUGUAUGAACACUAGCAUCGCCUUCAAUUUGUAAAUCCACGAACUGUGUCUCUGAGCUGCUUUACCUCGCACUAGGACGCCAUCCCACCGCUUGCCACCAAUGUAACGGAUCGCCUGGCACCCCGACUGGGUACCUCCGUUGAAGGAUGCUCCUAGCACUUCCUGAGGACUCCAAGCACUCUGGCAGACACCAC